rnacentral:rRNA from 1 species
GAACCUGCGGAAGGAUCAUUAUGAAUGCU